rfam:Chaetomium globosum CBS 148.51 scaffold_27 mitochondrial scaffold, whole genome shotgun sequence.
GGGAUCUUAGCAUAAUGGUAAUGCAAUUGACUUUUAAUCAUUCGAAUAUUGGUUUGAAUCCGAUAGAUCCCA